CCGUGUUUAUUUUACCUUGUUGCUUCGGCGGGCCCGCCUUAACUGGCCGCCGGGGGGCUUACGCCCCCGGGCCCGCGCCCGCCGAAGACACCCUCGAACUCUGUCUGAAGAUUGUAGUCUGAGUGAAAAUAUAAAUUAUUUAAAACUUUCAACAACGGAUCUCUUGGUUCCGGCAUCGAUGAAGAACGCAGCGAAAUGCGAUACGUAAUGUGAAUUGCAAAUUCAGUGAAUCAUCGAGUCUUUGAACGCACAUUGCGCCCCCUGGUAUUCCGGGGGGCAUGCCUGUCCGAGCGUCAUUUCUGCCCUCAAGCACGGCUUGUGUGUUGGGCCCCGUCCUCCGAUCCCGGGGGACGGGCCCGAAAGGCAGCGGCGGCACCGCGUCCGGUCCUCGAGCGUAUGGGGCUUUGUCACCCGCUCUGUAGGCCCGGCCGGCGCUUGCCGAUCAACCCAAAUUUUUAUCCAGGUUGACCUCGGAUCAGGUAGGGAUACCCGCUGAACUUAAGCAUAU
rnacentral:rRNA from 1 species